UAUACAGGCAGGCCAAGGGAAAUCCCUUUUCUGUUUCCAGCAGGACACACCUGGCAAUGGAUGUGACAUUCAGCACUGCCCAGGUUUCUUCCACUUGGAGGAGGAAAAGUGUGAAUGGCAGGAGGCAAUCCUCUGGCAGUGGGAUGCUAAGGAGGAAUAAUAAGGCAAGUUUGCUUGAUUGAAGGCUGCUGGUAUCCGUGAUUAGAAGCUGGCAGACAUCUCAUGAUGGACCUAACAGUAGCUUCUGGCACAAUGGGACACCGUGACGGAAACCAGAGCACACGGAAAGGCUGUUUACCUUCCUGCUACAGCGGUACCUGUUUAUCUACUUGUACUGGCGUGCUUUCAAACUGCUAGGUUGGCAGGAGCUGGGACAGAGCCACAGGAGCUCACCCCAUCAUGGGGAUUCGAACCGCCGAGCUUCUGGCAAUUUUGUUGGAAGAUCAGCAUCUCCACAUCUAAGUUCUUUAAUGACUUUUGGGCAGAUGCCAUAUGAACUCAAUGAUUGGUUAUUUUUUAAGUUUGUCAGCAAGGCCUAGAACUUUGCUGUUGUCAACAGUAUUUGCCUCAGUUCCUGAGAAAAUUACAGGCACAGGGAUCUGUCCUACAUCUUCCAAAACGAAGAUCCAAAGAAUUCACUCAGUGUCUCGGUCGUCUCCUUUUGCUCCUUUAACACACGUUUGACUCCCUUGCCAUCCCUGUAACUCAAGGGUGGGGAUCUGUGUUGUGCCUUUAACCUAGUGACUCUCCUCAUUUGGGCAACACCUCCAUUUUCUGAAAUAAACCUUCUUACCACUAACAGCUUUCCUGAUUCUGCUUGUUUAACUACACUUGAAUAUCUCUUGGCUUUCUGGACCAGGCAACCUUUCAGACAGAGGACUCCUUCAAGAAAGAAGAUGGCUUUCUUCUCUACAAUAAGACACAGGGGCAGCCUAUAGAGUACGGCUUCUUAUACUUAGCACAAUUUCUAGUAUUGUAUUGGGGGGGCUGUUUUCUAACUGGAAUUUACAGUGGUACCUCAGGUUAAGUACUUAAUUCGUUCCGGAGGUCUGCACUUAACCUGAAAUUGUUCUUAACCUGAAACACCACUUUAGCUAAUGGGGCCUCCUGCUGCUGCCGCGCCACCGGAGCCCGAUUUCUGUUCUCAUCCUGAAGCAAAGUUCUUAACCUGAGGUAAUAUUUCUGGGUUAGCGGAGUCUGUAACCUGAAGCAUAUGUAACCUGAAGUGUAUGUAACCUGAGGUACCACUGUAUUUAGACAUAAGUUUUGUUUAUGUGAGUUUUGUGGCGGUUGGGACUGGAAUCGUCACAUGGCAACAGUGGUUGUGAUUGUGGCACACUGUGCUGUUAUGCCUGAGUUCAUCACACACUAAGAUCACCUUCCAAGCCUUUGUCUUAACUUGUUUCGUUGAAAGAGGGAGCAAGAAAUAAGGUGCACAUAGUUAUUCCAUAUGAAAUUGUUUCACACACACACACACACACACACACACACACGCACACACCAAGUGCAUGCCCAUUCAUAGUUCUAUUUCGAACAAAAUAAGAAAGGAGCCAUUUCUUAACUCAGACAGAGAAGAUUUCUGCAAAUGUGUGAAGAAGGUUUUCAAGAAGGCACAGAAACCAGAUGGGGGCAUUAAAGCAGAACUUAUUCCAGACAGCAGGGGAAACAGAAACAAACUUAGGAAAACAGGGGCCUGCCACUCAUCAUUAUUUCAGUCAUGCUAGGAGAUCCAGCUCCUCCAAAACUGGUCUGCCAGAAGCAAAUGCGAGCUCGCACCCAUUUAAAUGAUUGAACAUAUAAAUUCGUUCAAGUUUUGUUUGCUGUUUUAAAUAUGAAGGGCUUAUUUUUAUGAUUUGUUUGGUAUUGUUUUCAGAGGCUACCAAGAGUAGAUCAGGGCAAAGAGACUUCAAGCUUAUAAGAUCUGCUUUGUUUUGUUUUGUUUUUUUCUAGAUCGCUGAGACCCUCCAAAUGGAGCCAGGUACAGAACAGGGGCUGAGGUGGGGGGAAGCGAGAUGCAAAAUGGAGGCUCAUGGGAAACAGCCAAUUACCUGCUACAGCGAAAUGAACUUCAUAUACAAGUAUAAAUCUCUAUAGAUAUUACUACAGGCCAUGGCUUUUAAUGGCAUAAUUUGAGUGUAGGAGGAAUAAGCCCUUUACCAUCUGUUUUUCUGGACGUGAGUCAUAUAGACUGAACCUAUCUAUCACACUGGAGCUCUUUGAGGCAGAAACCCAGAACUGGGACCACCAGAUUCAGCAACCUCCAAACUUGCAUUUUCUACAAAACCAUCCCUUUCCACACCAGGAACGCUUUGCAUUUCCAUGCCAUCUCAUCACUCUACCUGUAAGGUGAUACAAUACAGUGGUACCUUGGUUUGCAUACGACUUGGUUUGCAUACGUUUUGGAUUACAAGCACAUCAAACCCGGAAGUGCAUGUCCUGGUUUGCAAACGUUUCUUUUUAUUGCAACCCAUUAUUAUUAUUAUUAUUUUGGAUUACGAACAAAUUUUUUUAGAGGCCCCAUUAGCGAAAGCGCGCCUUGGGUUACAACCUGUUUUGAUUUACAAACGGACCUCCAGAACGGAUUAUGGUUGUAAACCAAGGUACCACUGUCCAAGAAAAUGAAUACCAAGUGAGGGGCAUGGUGGCUGCUCCUUUAAGCAAGGAGUGAACCUUGAAGGGGUGCUAUGACCCUGCAAAAAUAAUUUCCAUUCCUAUUGCUAUUUUGGAUCUCUCUGUGGUGUCCUACCUUUCUUCUUGAGCUUCUUGUCCAGAAUGUGGAAAGAUGUGUCUUACAGUAUUGACCUUUGAGAAUUAUAUAAAGGUAAAGGGACCCCUGACCAUUAGGUCCAGUCGUGACCGACUCUGGGGUUGCGGCGCUCAUCUCGCUUUAUUGGCCGAGGGAGCCGGUGUACAGGAUGACUAAGCUGCUUCUGGCGAACCAGAGCAGUGCACGGAAACACCGUUUACCUUCCCACUGGAGUGGUACCUAUUUAUCUACUUGCACUUUGACAUGCUUUCGAACUGCUAGGUUGGCAGGAGCAGGGACCGAGCAACGGGAGCUCACCCCGUCAUGGGGAUUCGAACCGGCGACCUUCUGAUCGGCAAGCCCCUAGGCUCUGUGGUUUAACCCACAGCACCUUGGUUUUAACUGCCCUGCACCUACCCCAUUGCAUCAACCACAACAGAGAGAUACUUGGAAAUUCAAUAUCCUUACUCCAAACCAACCCACCCAGGGAGAGGUAAGAGCUUAAGUCUGGAGAAAGGGCAAAAGCCACAUUAAAUGUCUGCAAGAAACAGUCAAGAUUAUUGAUCCAAACAGAGGAGAUACUCAAACAAAAGGCUGUUUAUGUGGGCAGUCUAGUACCCAGCAAUCUAUGACACACUUAACAAUAAAGAAAAUGGAUUAACCUGAAUACACUUCUCUGCGUGCUCCGUAGCACUUAGCUUUGUGCAGCUGGUCUGCUGAAAGCUUUAUUGUGCUAUGUGCAGAAUCUCAUUUAACAAUCCCGGUCCGAGAAGAACUUAAAAGGAACAUGGCUCCUGGUUCAUGCUAUGAUUUAGCAAUAUCAGCUGGGUGAAAUUCAUAUACCAAACCAGGAGAUUAGGAACAUCAGUGACCCCCACCAGUUUUAUUUCUGGUAACAGAAACCGAAGGUUUUUGAUAAUAUGGUUGUUAAUCUGUGUGUACUUUUCUCCUUGGUGAACACAUUCACAAAGCAUUGGCAACUGAUCAUCAAAGUAUGAUUGCCCCUCAUUGCCAUUGCUUGUUGCAUUUUUGCAACUAUAGGUGCAAUUACCCCUAUAAUUACAUGCAUUAUAAAUAAAGGUAUACUGAGCAGAAAUCAACAGCACAACCCUAUGUAUGUUAUGUCUAUUCAGAAGUAGGUUCAGUAGGACUUACUACCAGGUAAGUAUAUAUAGGAUUAAAUUUAGGGUAAAGAAACCCUGAAAAGAAGUUUUUACAAUAAGCACUUACUAUUCUUUUAAUACUAAUCAUUAACACUCUCAAAGUUCAUGCGCAAACUUAGCAUAAUGGACGGAACCGAAGUUUUGUAACAGAACUCACCACUCUUUUCAAUUAGCUGAUUAUUCCAUCCACUCUCUGUUGCAAGACUGUUAAUCAUACUGGAUGGCAGGACCUUGUAUAAAUUGAAGCAUAAUAUUGGCACAGUCAUCUCAUUCUUUAUUGCAGGUAAAGCUACCUCAAAUGCUUAUUACACAGAAAAGUAAUAAAUUGCCUCCCCCCCCCCCCCCGUAUGCGGCUAAAGCUGCCGAUGAGAUAGUUGUAAUCCAGAAAUUGCUAGUUCAUAAGACAUGCUCAGCCUAGGUGAAAAUUCAUCAUUUCUAAUCUUGCAGUAUUUCAGAACAACUCAGUUUCUGCAACCUCUGGGAAGUGUCAUCCUGAUUUUGAAAACACCUCAGAAAGAAUGGGCUCCUGUUUUUCGUUUUUCUUUUUCUUUUUAGGGAUUGUCAGAGGAAACAACAGCACAUUCCAGAAGCCCUUCUAGAAAGAACCAGCUUCCCUGUGCUAAAGGUAAAGAGACCCCUGACCAUUAGGUCCAGUCGUGGCCGACUCUGGGGUUGCAGUGCUCAUCUCGCUUCAUUGGCCGAGGGAGCCGGCGUACAGCUUCCAGGUCAUGUGGCCAGCAUGACUAAGCCGCUUCUGGCUUACCUUACCAUUUACCUUCCUGCCAUAGCGGUACCUAUUUAUCUACUUGCCAACUGGCAUGCUUUUGAACUGCUAGGUUGGCAGGAGCUGGGACAGAGCAAUGCGAGCUCAUUCCGUUGCAGGGAUUCGAACCACCAACCUUCUGAUCGGCAAGCCCAAGAAACUCAGCGGUUUAGACCGCAGUGCCACCCACGUCUCUGAGCACUAGAAAGUGGCUAAUGUAACACAAGGCUGCUGCAGGCCCUGACACCACAUCACAACAUAGUCCUGUCCCAAACAGAAGGAAACCAUUCAAGAUUGCACCACCAUAUUGCAGGCCUAUAAUGGACUUCAUGUUGUUCAGAGAAGUCUCUCAGUUGCCUACAAAAGAGAAGUCUCUCAGUUGCCUACAAAACCUCAGGCUUACCAAGUUAGUAUUUUAAUCUCUUCCAUAGAGGAUCUUGCUAAUGAAAUCAUGAUGUCACUAUCAUUCUCUAAAGAGCACCAAACCAUAGCUGUCAACCGUCCCUUAUUUGGCGGGAAACUCCCUUAUCCCAGUGCCGUGUCCCGCUGCUGUCCCUUAUUGAUGAUGUCCCUUAAAUUUCCCAGGUUUUAAAGGAAGCAGCUCCUCUCCCUCCCUGCCUGCCGGCCAGGGAGGAGGGAAGCUUCAGUUGUGUUGCUUGGCUGCGUUGCUCACCCAAUAAGGAGUCUAAGAACGACUGGGGGGUGGAGCUUGCAUGCCUUGUGCCGAUCAAAUCGGCCAUGUUGCCUGGGGACUCGCCUUUGCUCAGCGCUUCCCAGCGGAGAGGUGACGGUGGUUUUCCUUGCUGCGUCCCCUUUGCCGGGUUGCUGCGCUGUGGGAACCACCGCUUGAGGCUUCGUUUGGCUGCUGGCUGGGUUUUCUGCCUUUAGCUCGGAGGGGCUCAGAAGUUGAACAUACCUGUGCUGGGCAAAUCCCUUAUUUUGGCUGCUGAUCCCUUAUUUUCGAGGCUGCUGGUCCCUUAUUUUCAUAUCUGUAAGUUGACAGCUAUGCACCAAACUCUGUAUGGUGAAGUGUUGGAGGCCUUCCUGAUGGUUUCCCUGGGAAGAAAAAUGUGAUUUAUGAGGAAGCCACGUUGAACCUCGGCAAUCAAGAACACUCAGGACCAAUAGGCAGCUUUAUGACAUCAUUGCACACAUCAGCAGAAUUCCAGUGAUUUCAGCAUUCUUAGAGAAGACCUUGUCAAAUAUUGUUUUGCAGCAGGUCUUCCCAUCUGAGCGGAAGAUUGGCUGGUGUCCCAUACCAAGCAAGGCUGUGUCCAUGUUCCCAGGAUGCUGAAUGUAUGAAGCACAUUUUAUUACACUGUAGUCUGUAUAAACAGGUUAGGCAGCAUCUAAUCAAUCCAAUAUUAACAGAAUAAGCUGGAAUUGCCGAUUCUUUUGAUGUCAAGGUUCUUCUUGAGGAUAAGAUUGAGGAUGAGAUUGAUAUUGUUACACUGGCCGUAGCAAAAUUCCUCUCAGAGGCAGUAAAAAUCAGAAAUCAGUAUGUACAGGCCAAAGCUCCUCUGUAGGAAGGCCGAACUUACACCUUAUUUUUUUAAAAAAAUAUAUUAUUUACGCUUUUCAGAUUUCUACAUUUCACUAAUUUUACAAUCAUUUUAACAUUUCAAAACUUGACUUCCUUCUCCCUCUUUCUGUGGUUCCUUAAAUUUAUGUUUAAUACCUUCUGCAUAUCCA